ACGCUCGACACCUACGGGAGACAGCAGUUGGGAAUAUUGGACAAUGGAGGAAACUCUGAUCCAGUGACGCCGCGUGAAGGAAGAAGGUCUUCGGAUUGUAAACUUAUUUUGUCAGGGAAGAAAAAUGACUGUACCUGAAGAAAAAGCACCGGCUAACUACGUGCCAGCACGCCGCGGUAAUCUGAGGCCGGGCUGGCGAAGGC
rnacentral:rRNA from 1 species